UACGUAGGGGGCAAGCGUUGUCCGGAAUCAUUGGGCGUAAAGAGCGUGUAGGCGGUCCGGUAAGUCGGCUGUGAAAGUCCAGGGCUCAACCCUGGGAUGCCGGUCGAUACUGCCGGACUAGAGUUCGGAAGAGGCGAGUGGAAUUCCCGGUGUAGCGGUGAAAUGCGUAGAUAUCGAGAGGAACACCUGCGGCGAAGGCGGGUUGCUGGGCCGACACUGACGCUGAAGUGCGAAAGCUAGGGGAGCGAACGGG
rnacentral:rRNA from 1 species